GUUAUUCCUGUUUUGAGUUUGUACUCUUAGAACUCUGAUGUUUGAAUUAAACAGUGUUAGAAAAAGACUAGAAAGACCAACCCUUCAACUUGGUUAAUGUGUUAUACGUAUAAUAAAUUUGUUUUUUUUGUCAACUUAAUUUCAUUUAAAGAAAGUCCCGUGGGCCACAUUACAUGGUGAACUUAAAAAACUAAUCCCACCCAAUUACAAUUUCAUAAGCCCAAACCCAUGAUAACCGAUUGAUCGGAUAACUAUUAUGUUAUGACUGUCUCCAUGCUCGCCACGUGUCCUGCCAAUCUUCUUUCUGAUAACAUGCGUCUACUGUCAAGGCUUUUGGAGAAUGGGAUCUUCGGUCACGACAGAGACGCUCCUCCGCGAGUUGCUCAUCCACCGUCGCCGGAUUCUUCAAGUCACCAAAGUCCUCCUUCACUUCAACAUGCGCUUUAAUCGAACCAUCAAACAUCUUCAGAUUUAAACUUGAGAUUAAUCAAAUCAAUUCAUAAGUAGAAUCUUUGUCAGACCACUCCUUGAACGCCAACUCUUCUUACUCUCUUCUGAACCGUUGAUAUUAAUCUGUCAUCAUCUUUGUUCUUUCCAACCGGAAAGCUUUACCCAUAAGCCUAUCGACUUGCAGAAACGGUAAAGUAUGAUUUCCUAGGAGAGAAUUUGGAAUCAUAUCCUCCGAUGAAAAUAAAACGACUUAAGCUAACUGGAAUUUCAGUGGGCGAUCUUGUGAAAGAAGAACACGAACAGUAAACGCUUCCAUGAUCCUUACUUGGAUCAGACAAUAAUACAAACAGAAACAACCAGAGAUAUAUACGAGUUAAGCUCAACUCUGGUUUGGUUGAAAUCUACAACACAAAGUCGUGAAACGAAAAGUACAUCGCCUAAUUGAAAGAAUAUGCCACGCAAUAUUCUUAUUCAGUUUAUAGUUCAGAUAUGCUCUCCUGUAAUCUAGGAAGAUAUAAGCUGAUUGUAUCUACUCUGUGUAUAUAAACACUUGUAAUCACGUUGAGUAAGAUAAGGGAAAUAUUCAGACUUUCAUGGUAUCAGAGCAAGUCUCCAUCUGAUACUUCUCUUCAUCGUUAUUUUUCAAAAUUUUCUUUUCGAUACUGUGACUUCUCUGCUCUUCUACAAUCUGUUAUGACGACUAUUGAGAGAGCUUUCGGAGUCACUAAUAUCAAGCAACACAUUCCGAUAAUACUCGAUCAAGAUGUGUUCAACUAUGAUGCGUGGAGAGAUCUCUUUACCACACACUGUCUCACCUUCGACGUUCUAGGUCAUGUUGACGGAUCAUCCGCCCCAGAUGGUGAUACAGACACGCAAUGGCUCAAGCGUGAUGGCCUAGUGAAACUCUGGAUCUACGGCACAAUCGCUAAGCCCCUAUUCAAGACUGUUUUCAAAGUUGGUGGGACUGCCCGUGAGGCUUAUCUCCGGAUCGAGAACCAAUUCCGCAACAACAAGGAAGCACGGGCCAUUCAACUAGACAAUGACUUGCGUACUAAGUUUAUUGGUGAUCAGUCAAUCCAGGAGUACUCACAGAGCCUAAAAUCGAUUGCAGAUCUCUUACACAAUGUUGACGCUCCAGUCAGUGAUAAGACGCUUGUCAUGUACCUCCUCAACGGCCUCAAUGACAAGUUUGAUCACAUCACCAAUGUCAUAAAACAUCAGAAGCCUUUUCCCAGCUUCGAUGAGGCUAAGAACAUGCUUGAGAUGGAAGAAACAAGGCUGAAGCGCUCUCACCCAGUUCACGUCAGCCACACUGAUCACGCCUCCUCAUCAACAGCUCUCGUUGUCACAGAACCGGAGAACAAACCUAAGGAUAACAACCGCAAUAACUCCAGGAACAACAGCAACAGAGGCAAUCGACGAGGAAAUCGCGGUCGAGGCAGGUACAACAACAAUAAUCAGCGACCUCCUUAUGGCAACUGGAAUGCACCUCCCUCCUACUGGCCAAAUCAGUACAACGCAUGGCAGGCUCAGCACGUUCCAUGGAUGAACUUCCACCAGUAUCGCCCCACAGCUCCACGCUCCUUUGCUCCACAAGAGGCGCAAUUGGUUGAUAGCAACUACCAACCAACAAGGGACUUUGCAGAGGCGUUCAACACAAUGACGCUUGCUGAACCUUCCCCGAACUGGUACAUGGACUCAGGAGCAUCGACGCAUCUAGCUUCAUCGUCAGGUACACUUCAAUCUGUUUUUAAUUUGGACACCGAGAACUCUGUCAUCGUAGGUAAUGGAUCUUCUAUACCAAUAAAGUCAGCUGGUAAUGCCAUCCUUCCUACCGUGACACGUCCCUUACAACUAAAUAAUGUUCUUGUUGCCCCAAAAAUUGUUAAAAACCUUAUAUCUGUGCGUCGUUUCACAAAAGAUAAUUGGUGUUCUGUGGAAUUUGACCCCUUUGGUUUUUCUGUGAAGGAUCUGCUUUCUCGGAGAACAAUACUCCGCAGUGAAAGCUCAGGAGAUCUCUACUCUGUGCCUUCCUCUUUCAAUAAAGCUCGGCAUUCUGCUCUUGUCACAGAGUCUCCUUCACUUUGGCAUAAGCGUUUAGCACAUGCUAAUAAUGAUACUCUCAAAUCUUUGUUUUCAUCAAACUCUAUUCAUUAUAAUAAAGAGAGUCUUCAAACUUGUCAUGCGUGUCAUUUAGGGAAACAUCUAAAACUUCCGUUUUCCAAAUCUAUUACGCAUACAUCUGAGCCGUUUGAACUUAUACACUCAGAUGUGUGGACUUCACCUGUCCCAAGUUUAAGCGGCAUACGCUACUAUGUCCUGUUUCUUGAUGAUUUCUCACAUUUCUUAUGGGUUUAUCCAAUCAGAAACAAAAGUGAUGUGUUUUCAAAGUUUUUACAUUUCUCUGCCUACAUCAAGAAACAAUUUGGGGCUCAAAUAAAAGCUUUUCAGUGUGAUAAUGGGGGGGAAUACAACAACAAAAGAUUUCAAACACACUUCGAUUCCAAAGGCAUUGUUUUCCGUUUUUCUUGUCCUUAUACAUCUCAACAAAACGGAAAAUCAGAAAGAAUGAUUCGAACUAUUAACAAUGCUAUCAGAUCUCUUUUGUUUCAGUCUCACUUAUCUCCAGCGUAUUGGGCAGAGGCUCUUCAUGUGGCGGCUCAUAUCAUAAACAUCUUGCCAUCCAGUUCCAUAGGCAACAGGACGCCACACUCUGUCCUUCUCGGUCGUGAGCCUACAUAUGACCAUCUAAAAGUAUUUGGUUCAUUAUGUUUUCCCAAUAUCAAUAACUCCACAAAUCAUAAGUUAUCACCUAGGUCCACGCCUUGUCUCUUUCUCGGUUACCCUCUUCUUCACAGGGGCUACCGUUGCUUGGACCUCAAGACAAACAGAAUCAUCAUAUCUCGUCAUGUCCUUUUUGAUGAGACAACUUUUCCAGCUGCUCAAAAACUUCCCAGUGAUACAGGUUCCUAUUCUUUUCUUGAUCACUUUGACAAUACUUCACCUGUAUUUCAGAAAAUCCUUGUUUCACCUCAUUCUGAAGCCACAAAUGCUACUGCGCCGGUGCUACCUGCUCCACCGGUAGCUACAACAGCCAUUCCUUCCUCUCCUGAACCGCAAGUCAGUCCACCAAAAUCUCGGAUGACUACUCGAGGUCAGUUGGGUAUAGUAAAACCAAAGAAAAUAUUUACUCUACUUACCUCAUCGGUUUCCAGGAUUCCUACUACACAUCAAAAAGCUUUGUCUGAUCCUAAUUGGAAUCCUGCAAUGACAGAGGAGUACGAUGCACAAAUUAAAAAUAGAACAUGGAGUUUAGUACCUAGACCUUAUGGAGCUAACAUCAUUAACUCUAUGUGGCUGUAUAAGUUGAAACAUGAUGCAGAUGGUAUACCUCGCCGACACAAAGCAAGACUUGUGGCAAAUGGGAAAUCACAGGAAGCUGGUGUGGAUUACGACGAAACAUUCAGUCCCGUCGUUAAACCAGCUACUAUAAGAGCAGUCCUCAAUGUAGGACUAAAUCGCGGUUGGGAAUUCAAGCAGCUGGACGUCAAAAACGCGUUCCUUCAUGGCACCAUCUCAGAGACUAUCUUUAUGCACCAGCCUCCAGGAUUUGUUGACAAACAACAUCCAAAUUAUGUCUGUAAACUCGACAAAUCACUUUAUGGUUUGAAACAGGCUCCGAGGGCGUGGAACGCAAGAUUCAGUGCUCAAGCAACAAAGCUUGGAUUUCAAAUAAGCAAAUGCGAUGCCUCAUUGUUCAUCUACAAGAAAGGACGCGACUUGGCUUACCUUCUCCUCUAUGUCGACGACAUCAUCCUCACUGGAUCCAGCAAAACACUGCUAGAUAAGAUAACGGCGGCUCUGAAACAGGAGUUUCCGAUGACUGACAUGGGCCGUCUGUCAUAUUUUCUCGGUAUCAAGGUGGAGUACAAUGCUGCAGGAAUUCUUUUAACACAACAGCAUUACGCAAAAGAGAUCAUUGAACGGGCAGGGAUGACAGGCUGCAAACCAAUCUCUACACCGGUUGAUGUCAACUCGAAACUCUCAGCUGAGGCAGGCGAUAAAAUAGAGAACCCAACCCAAUAUCGAAGAUUAGCUGGUGCUCUCCAGUACCUAACCUUCACUCGUCCGGACAUUCAAUACGCAGUACAACAAGUAUGCUUAUUCAUGCAUGAUCCUCGUCAACAACAUCUCACGGCACUGAAGCGCAUUCUCCGUUACGUACAAGGCACGGCUUCACAUGGAACUCAAAUAUUUCGGUCCAAGAUAGACACCCUAACUGCCUACUCAGACGCUGACUGGGCUGGAUGCCCGGACACAAGACGCUCGACAUCUGGUUUCUGCGUCUACCUCGGUGAGAGUUUGGUCUCAUGGUCAUCAAAACGCCAAGAUACAGUCUCUCGGUCCAGCGCGGAAGCAGAGUACCGAGGCGUAGCCAAUACUGUCGCCGAGACAUGCUGGAUACGAAACUUGUUACUUGAACUUCAUGUGCCUCUAGCCAAAGCCACACUCAUUUUCUGCGACAACAUAAGCUCGGUUUACAUGUCCUCAAACCCGGUCAAACAUCAAAGGACAAAACAUAUCGAGCUAGACCUCCACUUUGUCCGCGAAAAAGUGGCUCUUGGCCAAGUAAAAGUCUUACACGUUCCAUCAGCUUACCAAUAUGCAGAUAUCUUCACCAAAGGAUUGCCUUCUUCGCUCUUCAACUCAUUCAAGAACAGUCUAACCAUCAGACAAUCCGAUGCUUACACUGCGGGAGGGUGAAAGAAUAUGCCACGCAAUAUUCUUAUUCAGUUUAUAGUUCAGAUAUGCUCUCCUGUAAUCUAGGAAGAUAUAAGCUGAUUGUAUCUACUCUGUGUAUAUAAACACUUGUAAUCACGUUGAGUAAGAUAAGGGAAAUAUUCAGACUUUCACUAAUGAAAACAGAGAUCGAUCAAGGACCGAAGUAGUUACAUCAAAAAGAAAAAAGUAAGAGAUGGUAACCGGCAGCGAAAGCCACCACCGGCCACUGACAUUGAACUUUGGUGAAAGACUCUUCUAGAGAGAGGUUGGAGAAAGCUUUCUAGAGAAAUAAAAUUGCAUAAUAAAGAUUAUAUAUGUAACUUUUCAGUUUACUUCAUGAAAUAUUGAUUAGCUUGAGAUAAUUAGCAGAAAAAUGACAAAUAAAAACCCAAACCAUUAUUUCUUUAAC
rnacentral:lncRNA from 1 species